ensembl:snRNA U1 U1 spliceosomal RNA
AUAUUUACCCUGCAGGGCAGGUACAGUUAUCAUAAAGGUGGUUUUCCUAGGAUGAGGCUCAUCAGUUGUGCUCCACAUGUACUGACUCCUGCGGUUUUCCCCAAAUGUGAGAAAUUCAACUGCAUAAUUUGUGGUAGCUGAAGACUGCAUUUGCCUUCUCCUU